rnacentral:lncRNA from 1 species
UCCACCCGAAUGGGAGUACGAGGCCAUGGGUUCUGUGUUGUGGGUACAGUGUGCUACCUCUACAGAGUGUAUUUAAUCUAUCGAUAGCAUGGGUUCGUACUAGGUCCCACCGUCGAUCAACACUCACAUGAUAGAAUGACUUAUAGGUGAUAUAUAUAAAUGUUGAUAUUUUGAGCAGUACAGAUUGGCAGGAUGAUGAUGAUGAGGAUGACCAAGUGUUGGUCAUGGUAGUGAUUGCCCGAAGGAUCACAUUUGAGACCAAGUGUUGGUCAUGGUUGUGAUCGUCGAAAUGAUCACCGUUUGGUUUUGAUCACGAGGUGACCGAGAUGAUAUAUUGCUUGGCCGGUUAGCCAAGAGAGAUAUGGUUAUGGAGAUCUGAGAUGGUGAUUUAUUAGUGUUGUAUCAGUUUCAUACCAUGCUUAGUAGUUGUUCCAUCAUAAUAGUUGUUAAUCUAAUUAACCUGUUAAUGCUAUGUUAUUGUUUUGCCUUGAUGUUUAUGGUUGUUGUGAGCUUGCAAGUACAUUCAAUGUACUGACCUGGCAUGUCAUGCCAGAUUGCAGGUGAUGCCAUGAUUGCUCGAUUGCUUGUCAAUGGUUGCCGUGCAUGCGAGCUAGAUCGUGUCCCAGCCAGAGUCCCUGCAGAGUGGAGUUCACCACCUUCGUCGUUGUUCCGCCGCUAGAAGUAUUCCGCCGCUACGAGUUCUUCUGCUACUAGCAUAGAGCAAGUGUAUUAUCGCAGGCGUAGUGUCACUGUGCUGAUGUGCUUCGCUAUAACAUCAGACCCUUGUAAUAUUAUUCUUGUAAUAAGAGCUGAUUUGUUCUAUGUCAAGCAGUGUCGCCCAGAGACUUUUCCUCGAUCUCUGGGCUGGAAUACGGGGCGUUUCGGAUUCACUGAGCCGGGGUGCCACAGGCUUGGUAUCAGAGCAGGUCUGGCUAUAGGACGCCCUAGUCAGUGUGAGCGGUAGAAACCGGUAGUAUAGAGUUUGGCUUGUUUAUUGCAUAUGGUUGUUGCAUUUGUUUGUUGCACAGCAUGCAUUGAUGAAGCUAUGUACCUAGGGUAGGGUCAUAGACCUGACCUAGACAUCCUCCCCUAGGACAUCACCCUAAAGAUAGGUUCAUUCAAAGGGUACCAUCAUCCACUCGUCCAGAGACAUUCCACUCGGAAGAAUCAAUGUCACUUGAUCGUCGCAGAAGUCACUCGACACACAGAAGAGCUAAAGCCACUCUGCUUGAGCAACGGUCGAGCAUUUAUUUAUAGGCUUAAUUGUCAUUUAUAGCACUUUGUGUGUGCGUUACCAGUAACGUUCUCUCUUCAAUGUACCUUAAACCCUCUGUGACAUGGGUUGGCUGGGGUCCUGGCGCACUCUAUAUAAGCCACCCCCUCCAUAGGCACAAGGGUUCACACCCCCUGUAACUCACACGCAUAUAAUCCAGUCGACCGCCUCCGGGCUCUGAGACGUAAGGCUGUUACUUCCUCCGAGAAGGGCCUGAACUCGUAAAACUCGCGAGUACAACUCCUCCAUAGCUAGCAUAUUGCCUCUAUAUUCCUAUCCCCCAUUCUACUGUCAGACUUAGAACCACGACAGUUGGCGCCCAACGUUGGGCGGUGUCUUAGUGACUUCUUGGAGAAGUUGCGAUUUUUCCGAUCCCCAUCAACAUGGUUUCAGGCGGAGUUUUGGCCGAGGGCCGCGAGAUCCGUCUCGGCGCGCUUGUAUUCGUAGCCGACGACUCCACUUGGCUCCAAGAAGUGCCACUCGACGUCGAGGCGCUCCCCGUCCAUGGGACAACGCACUUUCGCGCGUGGGUCCGUGGCGUCGUCCUACGGCAGCCGUCGACUCAGUAUCGGCCGGCUCCUGUGUUAACCUCACUCCCUGCAGCCUACCGGAGCAAAUGUUCCAGUCAAUCAAGGCUUCAGCGGAUGGUGAGGCAUGCGGUGGCUCGCCAGUCAGCCACCCCUCAAGUCGCGGCAAUCGAGCCCGACGAAACUCUCUACGGCCUGUUCGACUGGCUCCAUAGAAACUGCAUCCGAGUGCGACAGCAGCGACCCCGCGACGGAAGUUUUGAUGGUCAAUGGACCACGCAGUCCUCCUGGCUUCACCCGUGAAGACGGAGGCGAUGGGGGCGGCGAUCCGUCGCAUGUUCAUGAAGAGUACCGCCCCGAACCCCUCUCUUCGCAGCAGAGAGAAGAACUUUGCUGCCGGAACAAGGAUGCGCUUCACACUCCUAUCGUUGGAGAAACCCCUGAGGCCCAGGCCUUGGAGGAGGCGCGCCUAGCCAACUUGGCUGAGCGCACUCGACUGGAGAACCUCCAGCGCGCACUCGAUGAGCGUGCUCAGCAGCGUAUCCCCGAGUCCAGACGACGUCAACUUUUUCUGCCUCUGACUCAGGUAUACUGAACUCCGAUCUAGAAUCUCGUAGCUGCAGCCCGAAUAGCAGAGUCAAUUCAGCCUUCCCAGUCAGAAGCUGGUCGAGGUUUGGUGUAGAUCCGGGCUUUGCUCUGAGCCGCGGGGGAGCAGAAUACAGCAGUAUCUCAGUCGCGGAAUAGGAUCCAUAGCAAAUCCGUGGUUGUAGACACAGUCCAGUCGGCUCAUAGCCCGAGAUCGCCCCUAAGGCGUGAGGGAUGUGGGGACCGGCAAGAUCAAAACAGAAACCAUGAGCAGUACGAUCACCAACUCGAUCACGAUGAUCGUCGUCGAGUACCCACGCCUCCCCCAUGGAGUGGGUCAUAUGUGCCUCGGCAGCAUGAUGACAGACGUCCUCACAGUGGUGGACGAAGGAUUCUAGUCGACCCUAGAGAACCGUGCUUUGAUGCAAGAUCUAUUCUCGUUCAGGGUUUGGUCGACAGAAACAGAGCUCACAGAGAAGGCCACGAUAGAGAUUUUCCAACCAACAGCAGAGUGCAUGCCUCAGUUCCAGAGUGCUUCAGCAGAGCCAUCAUGGCUGCGGUGAUUCCUCCCAACUUCAGGUUGGUGACUGGAGUCAGUAAGUUCACUGGUGAGUCCAAGCCUGACACUUGGCUUGAGGAUUACCGAGUGGCUGUACAGAUUGGUUGUGGCAAUGAUGAGGUUGCCAUGAAGCAUCUCCCUUUGAUGUUAGAGGGCUCGGCCAGAGCGUGGCUGAAUCAGUUAGCGCCUGGUAGUAUUCAUACUUGGGAAGAUCUUGCCCGGGUAUUUGUCAGAACAUUUGAAGGUACUUGCAAACAGCCAGCAGGGCUGACAGAAUUACACCAUUGGGUUCAAAAACCGAAUGAAACUCUGAGAGAUUAUAUCCAGAGGUGGAUCACAUUACACCAUAUAGUGGAGAAUGUGUCAGAUCACCAAGCAAUUUGUGCCCUCAAAGAAGGCGUUAAGUAUCGGGAAUUGAAUCCGAAAUUCGGUCGGACAGGAGAUAUGACUCUGACUCGGAUGAUGGAGAUUGCCACCAAAUACGCCAAUGGUGAAGAGGAAGACCGACUCCGAAGUGGCAAGCACAAAACAGUCGCCCAUGAAACCGUAGGAGGGAACUCCAGUCGGAAGCAGAAGCACAAAGCCAAGCCAGCUGCUCCUGGAGAAGCCUUAGCCGUGACUCAAGGAAAGUUCAAAGGGAAACCCAAAGGACCAUGGAACCCCAAGAAAGUAAAAGAUCAAGAUGGAAGUGAUGUGCUAGAUUUACCAUGCCACAUUCACACUAAGAAAGAUGAAGAGGGUAAUUUCAUCUACCCGAAGCAUACCACUCGACAAUGUCGACUCCUAAUCCAGCAAUUCCGAGAGAAACAACCCAAGGAAAAGGAGAAGGAAUCGAACAAAGUUGAGGAUGAGGAAGAGGACGAUGAUGGUUACCCCCACGUCAAUUCCACUAUGAUGAUUUUCGCUGAUGUUGAGAGUAAGAGUUGACUGAAAGUCAUCAACAGAGAGGUCAAUAUGGUCACUCCGGUGACACCCAGUUAUUUGAAAUGGUCUCAGACUGCCAUUACAUUCGACCAGUCCGAUCACCUAGCGCACAUAGCCACCCCUGGGAGGCAAGCGCUGGUGGUCGACCCAAUAGUCGAAGGCACUCGAUUGACUAAGGUUCUGAUGGACGGUGGCAGUGGUCUGAAUAUACUGUAUGCAGAGACAUUGAAAGGAAUGGGAAUUCCAAUGUCCAGACUCAGUGAAAGCAGUAUGAGUUUCCAUGGAGUUAUUCCUGGCAAGAAGGUUGCGUCACUCGGCCAGAUUGCCCUUGAUGUAGUUUUCGGUGAUUCCAAUAAUUACCGCAAAGAAAAGUUGACAUUUGAAGUCGUGGAUUUCCAGAGUGCUUAUCAUGCUAUUCUGGGCAGGCUAGCUUAUGCACGUUUUAUGGCUCGACCAUAUUACGUGUACCUCAAAUUAAAGAUGCAUGGUCCUAAAGGGGUGAUCACUAUCACUAGCAAUCGAAAGAAGGCAGAAGAGUGCUUCCAGAAGGGCUCAAAGAUCGCCGAUGCAUAGAUGGCAGUAGUGGAAUUACAGGAGUAUCAAGAAAAUGCAUAUCCGAGUGAUUUGUUGCGAGCUAAGAAGCCCGCCACAGAUUCAGCAUUCCAAUCGUCUGGUGAAAUGAAGCCGAUUCAUAUUCACCCCACGGAUCCCAAUGCUGCUCCGACUCACAUUUCAGCAACACGCGACUCCAAAUAGGAAGAAGCGCUCAUUGAGUUCCUCCAUGAGAACUGGGACAUCUUUGCAUGGAAACCUUCUGACAUGCUAGGUGUUCCCAGGGGACUGGCUGAGCAUCGUUUGUGAGUCGACCCAAAAGUGAAACCAGUAAAAGAACAUCUUCGACGGUCUGCCGUACAGAAGAGAAAGGCAAUCGGCAAAGAAGUGGCUUGGCUCCUAGCAGCUGAGUUUAUCCGAGAGAAUUAUCACUCCGAGUGGUUAGCUAAUGUUGUCAUGGUCCCAAAGAAGGAUGAUUCAUUUCGCAUGUGCAUUGACUUCAAACAUAUCAAUCGGGCAUGCCCGAAAGAUCACUUUCCUCUCCCUCACAUCGACCAAAUAGUCGACUCGACCGCAGGGUGUGAGCGUUUGUCCUUUUUGGACGCUUAUUCCGGGUAUCACCAGAUCCGUCUGUAUGGACCCGAUAAGAUAAAAACAGCUUUCAUCACCCCGUUUGGGUGCUUCUGUUAUGUCACUUUGCCAUUCGGCUUGAAGAACGCUGGAGCCACAUUCAUGCGGAUGAUUCAGAUGUGUUUACUCACCUAGAUCAGUCGGAAUGUAGAAGCAUACAUGGAUUACAUUGUGGUCAAGUCACGUAAAGGUUCCGACCUACUGGCUGACCUUGCUGAAACCUUUGCCAACCUCAGAAGGUAUGAUAUCAAGCUUAAUCCAUCAAAGUGCAUGUUUGGAGUUCCAGGCGGAAAAUUACUCGGUUUCCUCAUUUCCAAACGAGGGAUCGACGCUAACCCAGAGAAAGUGGGUGCCAUACUCCGGAUGAAAUGCCCUGUGCGUGUGCAUGAUGUCAAGAAUCUUACUAAUUGUUUGGCCGCCCUAAGUCGAUUCAUUUCUCUCCUCGGUGAAAAGGCACUGCCUCUUUACCGACUGAUGAAGAAGUUAGAUAAGUUCGAGUGGACUCCUGAAGCUGAUGCAGCAUUUGCAGAGCUUAAAGCCCUGCUUUCCACCCAGCUGGUGCUUGCUGUUUGGGGAUUAGGUAUGGUUGGACCACUGAGGACUGGUAGGAGCGACUUCACUCACGUGCUUGUAGCAGUCGACAAGUUUACCAAGUGGAUUGAAGCCAAGCCUAUCAAGAAUCUCGAAGCUAGUACUGCCGUUAGCUUCAUUAGAAAAUUGACGUCCAGAUACGAAGUCCCACACAGCAUCAUCACUGACAAUGGAUCGAACUUCGAUUCAGAUGAGUUCAGAGCAUUUUGUGCCUCCCAAGGCACGCGAGUCGACUAUGCUUCAGUCGCCCAUCCCCAGUCGAAUGGACAAGCAGAAAGAGCAAAUGGCGUGAUUCUCAAAGGAUUGAAACCCCGACUGAUACGAGACGUCAAGCAUGCAGUAGACGCCUGGGUUGAUGAACUUCCAUCAGUUCUCUAGGGAUUGAGAACAACUCCCAAUCGGUCGACUGGUCGAACUCCAUUCUUCUUGGUCUAUGGAGCUGAAGCUAUUCUACCGAGUGACUUGCUUCAUAAUUCACCACGAGUAGAGCUCUUCUCUAAAGAUGAAGCAGAGCAAGCUCGAUAGGAUGUAGUUGUAACGCCCCAAGACCAGAGCUUCAGAUGCCUUCCAGGGUUUUCGGGUUUUGUUGUGUGUUUUGUUUCGUCUGUUGCAUUCAUCUUUGCAUCGUGUGCAUUGCAUCAUGUCAUCAUGCCAUCAUGUCAUUUCUUUUUCUUAACUCAACUAAAUAAAUGGCAUGGAUCUUUGAUCCAUUUAAACCGAGGGAACUCACAUGGUGGUUUCUCUUUAUAACCUAUCCUCCCGAUAGUAGGGAGCUAUAUUCAAUAUUUCUUUAAUUUGAUAUUCACCAUAACACAUGUGCAAAAAUAAUCCUCAUGCCUAUUUCCACUUCGAGUUUGACCUUCAAAUCUUGCCCACAAUUCUGUAUCUCUUUUAUCGAGCUUCCUCUAAAAACCGAACAUUUUGGACCUUCCAAACCUCCACUUCCUAUUCACCCAUUUGAAUUUAAUUCAAAUGUGUUUGAAUCUAAACCUUGCAUCCAUGCCCACUCCUAUUUUUCUUGGAUUAGACUCAUUUUUAUGAGUUUGAGAAUAUAUUCUUUCUCCUACCAUCUUCUUUUCUCUCUUUUCUUUCUUUCUUUCUUGUUUUUCUUCUCUGUUUUUUCUGUUCUUUAGAGUGAGAGAGAGAGAGCCCAGCCCAGCUACAACCUAUGCUAGGCUGGCCCUUUAGGCCCACCUAACCAUUGCAUGCAGCCCACUAGUGCCGCAACCCUAGACCCAGGGAGUCGGACUCCCUUCUCCCUCAUUACCUUCCCGUCGCGCCGCCAUCUCCCUCCUGCCUGUUUCCUUCGACCCAUCUCCCUGGUCUCUCCCCCUCGCUUUCCCCUUGCAUCACCAGGGAGGACCGAGCCUGAUCCCAUCUCUCCCCAUCGACCCUUCCCCUCGCACGCAGGAGCCUUCGUCCUCCUCAUGCGCCGCUCUGCAAUCAGAGAAGGAGGGAGAGUUCCACACGCAUAGGGCUGCGCCCUCGAUCCUCCAUCUCUCCCUCGCUCUUCCUCCAUCCUCUGCUGCAGCCUCGCGCGCCCAGGACCCCGAGCAGGAGCGCCGUCCUUGUCUCCUCGCUCGUGCCUCCUCUGUUCCCAUGGCGAUGCCGUCCGGCCACAGCCACCUGCGCGCCCGACGCCGCCCCGCCUCCAAGUUCGCCGCCGCCUUGCUGUCGCCAUGGCCCGAAGCGACGCCUCGGUUGCUUAUUGUACCGCAACCGCCGGCCUCUCCUUCCUCCUGCCCGGUUCCCCCUGCCGCCGUCGAGCUGCGCCACAGCGCCGACCUCACUCUGCCCUUGCAGCUACUGCUUCAUCGCUUCGCGCCCGCGCCUCUUCCUCCCUCUGUUCAGCCGCAAGCGCGCCGCCGCCUUCUUCGAGCAGCAGCAGUUUCUUUCGCUGCCUGCUGACGAGCACCCGCCCAGGCCAUCUUCUCCUGCUGCCUUGAGCAGCCCCUUCAUGACCGUAACCAAGACCGUUGUUCUGUUACGUUUUGGACACGCCGAGAACCGAUGUCUUUUUUUUGCUGCUUCGCUUUGGAGGCGCCAAGAUCCUCUCCGACAAGUGUACGACUACAUGGUGACUCGUGUGUACCACUACCGUCGCCCCGAAAACAUUGGAGUCAUCAAGUACCCCGAACGACUACCACCGCAAGAACGGGACAGGCAAGUCCGUAGACCCCAAGUACCACAACAUCGAUGACCACAUAGACCGCCAAGACCGGACCUGUCAAGUACCCUUCAGAUUCGUCAAUACCCUCAUGUACCACUACAGCUGAUGAUGCAACAAGUACCCCAAAGUCAUGUGUACAACGACCAUCGCCGAAAACCCUGGUAGCAGAACGCCAAGUACCUCUCCGAAAAACGAACGUGUACCACUACGUCUGGAGGCAUCGGAUCCGUCAAGUCCAACAACGACCGCGUACAACUAUUGGCAACCCCAAACGACUACGAAACGAGAACCUCUACUUCCCCUCCAAAACGUGUACCACUAUGCCGCCCUAACGUCUACGGAACAUGUACCACGACCAUCGUUGGAGACCCGUGGACGUCAAGUUCCAUGUCGUGACCCCGAACAUCUACGGACAUGAACCACUACUUCCCUCGGAGUCCCGAGAACGUCUACUUUCCCUACACCGCUUUGAACUUGAACCCCUCCUAUAACGCACGCUUCGAAGGUAUAACCACCGAGACGACCGCCCGUGAACGAAUGCUUGUGUGAUGUAUGAGAUGCCCGUGUGUUGCUCGGUCCUCCUCAUUUGCCGCUAACCCGUGGGUACCCGGUAUCCGGGAGCACCCCCGCCAUCUUUUGCAUGCUCCCGUCACGUUUCCUUUUGCUAUGGUAUUUCCAUGAGCUACCGGAACCGUUAUCGUUGCUGUGGCACUCCCUUUCUUUCCACCACGGCGACAAAUGUUUCUUAAUGCUCUUGUCAACUUUUAAUAAAAAUUUCAUAAACUUGAACAUGUCAUCCGCAUCAUGUUAACGACUUUAAGAUGUUUAAAAUUGUUGUUGCAAUAAAUUGCUAAUGCACACGGGGAAUUACCGGAUUUGUUGUUUGUUAUAUCCGGCCCCAUUUAAAUUGUUUAAAUGGUAUAGUUUUGUUAUGCUUCACCUCUUGCCAUGUUAACGAACAUUUAAUGUUGUUGAGUACCUAACCGAGAAUGAACUAAAUAAUUGAUGUGGUGUUCCAUUAAUAUGCAACGGAGUUGCAUAUUGAGCUCCACUUAAUUUGUAGGAUUGCUUGUGCACUUUGCCAUGCCAUGCCUCUUUAAUCCGGACAUGCAUCAUACUUGUUUGUGCAUCAUGCCAUGAUUAUGUGAGGGUUGUUUACUAUGUUGUUUGCUUCUUUCCGGUGUGCUUCUUUGGGUUGGUUCCGAUAACGUCGCUUUUGUGAGGAUUCGUUCGACUACGUCCGUUUAUCUUCUUCAUGGACUCGUUUUUCUUCCUUGCGGGAUCUCAGGCAAGAUGACCAUACCCUCGAAAUCACUUCUAUCUUUGCUUGCUAGUUGCUCGCUCUUUUGCUAUGCCUAUGCUGCGAUACCUACCACUUGCUUAUCAUGCCUCCCAUAUUGUUGAACCAAGCCUCUAACCCACCUUGUCCUAGCAAACCGUUGUUUGGCUAUGUUACCGCUUUGCUCAGCCCCUCUUAUAGCGUUGUUAGUUGUAGGUGAAGAUUGGAGCUUGUUCCAUGUAGGAACAUGGGUAUUUUGUUGGGAUAUCACAAUAUCUCUUAUUUAAUUAAUGCAUCUAUAUACUUGGUAAAGGGUGGAAGGCUCGGCCUUAUGCCUGGUGUUUUGUUCCACUCUUGUCGCCCUAGUUUCCGUCAUAUCAGUGUUAUGUUCCCGGAUUUUGCGUUCCUUACGCGGUUGGGUUAUAAUGGGAACCCCUUGACAGUUCGCUUUGAAUAAAACUCCUCCAGCAAGGCCCAACCUUGGUUUUACCAUUCGCCACCUAGCCUCUUUUUCCCUUGGGUUAGGCCAGCCCAAGGGUAAUCUUUAUUUUAAUCCCCCGGGCCAGUGCUUGUCUGAGUGUUGGUCCAACCCAGAGCACCGUGCGGGGCCGUCCCUUGGCAACUUGGGUUACGUUGGAUUCCGUACGCUUAGCUUAUCCGGUGUGCCCUGAGAACGAGAUAUGUGCAGCUCCUAUCGGGAUUUGUCGAAAUAGCGGGUGGUCUUGUUGGACUUGUUUUACCAUUGUAGAGGAUGUCUUGUAACCGGGAUUUCGAGUCUGAUCGGGUCUUCCCGCUAGAAGGAAUAUCCUUUGUUGACCGUGAGAGCUUGUGAUGGGCUAAGUUGGGACACCCCUGCAGGGUUAUGAACUUUCGAAAGCUGUGCCCGCGGUUAUGGGCAGUUGGGAAUUUGUUAAUGUCCGGUUGUAGAAAACUUGAAGUUGACCUUAAUUAAAAUACAUCAACCGCGUGUGUAACCGUGAUGGUCUCUUUCCGGCGGAGUCUGGGAAGAGAACACGGUGUUGGAGUUAUGCUUGACGUAGGUUGUUCUAGGAUCACUUCUUGAUCAUAGUUGUUCGACUAUGCUUUUGCCUUCUCUUCUCGCUCUCUUUUGCGAAUAGGUUAGCCACCAUAUAUGCUAGUCGCUUGCUGCAGGUCCACCUCAUACCUUUACCUUACCCAUAAAAUUAAAUAGUCUUGAUCGCGAGGGUGUGAGAUUGUUGAGUCCCCGUGACUCACAGAUUCUUCCAAAACUAGCUUGCAGGUGCCGAUGAGACUGUGCAGGUGACGCAACCAAGCUCAAGGUGGAGCUCAAUUAAGAUCUCGUUCUUUGUGUUGUUCCGUUUUUAGUUGAUCAGUAGUGGAGCCCAGUCGGAACAAUCCGGGAUCUGUGUAGCAUUUGGGGUAGUCUUCUUUUAUUUAGGGUUCCGUAGUUCGGACCUUGAUUGUAUCUGGUUGAUGUAAUGCUUUAUUCAUGUACUUGUGUGAAGUGGCGAUUGUAAGCCAACUAUGUAUUUUUUCCCUUAUGUAUUACAUGGGUUGUGUGAAGAUUACCUCACUUGAAACAUCGCUUUCAAUGCGGUUAUGCCUCUAAGUCGUGCUUCGACACGUAGGAGAUAUAGUCGCAUCAAGGGCGUUACAAGUUGGUAAUCAGAGCCUUCGCCGACCUUAGGAGCCCCCUGCUUGAUCGAAUCGCUGGCGUUAUUGAGUCUAGAAAUGUUUUGAGUCAUUUAGGAAUUAUAUAUAUCGGAGAGUUAGGACUUCUUUUUACUCCCCAGUCCCUUCAUCGCUCUGGUAAGGCAUCCUGACGUAGAGUUUUGACUCUUCUCUUCUCAAAUUUCACUAAAAAAAAUUUAGGAUCAUGCGGGUAUCUUGGAAUCGUUCCAAUGGUUUUGUGACGAGAACAUUGUUUUUGGUGCCUCCUGUCAUUUAGGGGUUGUGGCAGUGUCCCGGGGAGUUGAGCUCCAAGGUGUUGUCGUCACAAUUUUAUCGUUGCAGUUCUGGAAUACCUGAGAUUAGUUUCGCCGACAUCGAAAAUCUCUUUUAUGCAGUUGUUGGUGAGAUAACCUCGACGCCACCCAGUACUUGGGCGGGAGUUCGGGAGUAUUGCCAUAACUCAUAUAACUGAUGCUUUUCGAAGGUUGAGGUAAACGAUUUUCCGAAGGUUUCUUGGUUAUGUGUUGAAGGAUGGAUACAGCCGGAUGUAGGAUUUGUUAGUUUGGGUGAGAUAUUAUGCUUCCCCUGUAUCCCCAACACCUGAUUGCAUAACCGGAAAAUUUCGGGAGUUUAUAAGUGGGAAUUCAAGUAGCUCUUAGGAUAUCUUUCCGACAGAUGUAUGAUAUGAAAUUGGGGUUCAACGUCUAGUGGUCCGCCUAUUGACGGUUGGUUUUACAGUGGUCUCGUUGUGUCUUAAAGAGUCCUUGGCUAUGCCGACUCGGGGAAGCUUCGUAUGUAAUGUGCACUGCCUUGUACAUGAUGGUGCUGUACGAUCGAGCCCAUGUAGGCCCCACCACAAAAACUUCAGACGAAAUCUCUAUCAUAUGUUUGUUCUGGCUUAUUCUGCAAGCCAAUCUUUUGUUUUUGUUUUUGAGUUGUGGUAUUCGAGUUGCUUCAAAGUCAAAUGUUGAUUCCAUACCUUUACUAAAUGGUGUUCUUAUACUCCGAUGUGAAUACUAAUCCUUUUCGAUAAUUGAGAUUAUCAUAUCACUCCUUUUCACCGGUGUGUUUCUCUUCAAGUGGAUCCGAUCAUUUUCAACAUCCGCAAGAUCAACUCAAAUUUUGGUCAACGGUGUUUGUUUCAUCCAUCUCCAAGUUGUCUUUGUUUUCCGACCCUCCCACCCCUUUUCUUCAAGGACUCAGAUUUCUUAAUCAAGUAUCCUUUUAUUCAUGAGAAGUCUCUCCAUUCUUUUUUCCUUCAUGUUUUUACCCGGUGUUUCUCAUGAAGAUGCUCUACAAGUUCAUCAUUAUUCAUUCUCUUUCUUCUCCGGUGGAACUAAUUCAAGCUUUGUUGAUCAUAUCCUUCCCUCGUUUCAAAUGCCUUCUCAUACCGGUGCACCUCAUAAUAUUUCAUUUCUCGCUAUUCUAUUGUUCCGGUGCCUUAAAGAUAUCUCAGAAGACUCGUCUUGUCAUUCAAGAUCCAUUCAAGUUCUUUUCGAGCUUGUUAUCUCAUUCAAGCCAUUUAAAUUCAACUAGUGCAUUCUCUCUUUUAAAUCGUUCUACGGAGUUUCUUUUGAGUGGGCCCUAACCCACAGGUCUUUUCCCAGGAUCUUACCUGACUCUUCUUAUUUUCCUGGAGCUAUCCUCAAAUUUCUUUUCGAAGUUUGACAUAAGAAUGAUUUGUCAUCAGUCAAAUGUUUUUCUCCAAGAUCUUUCAAUUUCUUUUCAUCGUUGGUUCAACCUUUGUAUUUAUCAUUUCGGAGUAUCUCAACAAUUCACGGUGGUGUUGCUCGUCGUAAUUCUCAGAUUAUGAAUACCAAAGAAGAAUUUUCUCUCAAUCUUGCCCCAUUCUCUUCAAGAUUCGUGGUUCUAGUUCAAGGCCAUCCUCUCAUAAUUGUUUUCGAUUGUCAGAAUUCUUUUCGCCCAUCCGGGGUAAUUCAAGAGUCUUCUUAGUUUGAUUAUCCAGAGUCCAUCAAUUCAGGUUUAUUAAGUCUCUGCUUUCAGUUAUCAUUCUUCGAUCUUACCGGUGCAUCAUUCAAAUAUUCCCUAAUCAGUUCAUGAUCUAUUCGUUUUCAUGUAUCAAACUCCCUCAAGUAUCUUCUUUCGUUUUCUAAUUCUUCCUGGUGUUUGUUCUCCUUUCUCCGUUCAUUUCAUAAUUAUUACCGGUGAUUCACCCCUUUACUUCGUUCAUUUUAAUUCUUACGGUGGUUUGUUCAAGAGUUCUCUUCCUUGGUUAUCAUAUAAAUUUAUUCGUUGUUUCAAUCCUUCUGAUGGAUCGUUCAAGACCUUCUCAAGUUUACGCUAUAUCUAUCUUGAUCUUUUCUACGAGAAUAAGUAAUAUGCCAAAUCCGUUGAUUGUCAUCAAUUUAAAUUGGUGAAGGAUAAGUAUAAUGUAAUUCUUAUUCUUGAUUCACCCAAAUGAUUAAUUCUUUAUUCCAAAGGCUCAUCAAAUUCUAAUUUCAAUUGUUUCAUCUUCUCUUUUUGCCGGAGUUCAAACUUUUUUCAAUUACAUCUCCACGGAGAUUCAUUUAAAUCAUUGUAAGGCUUCAACCUUAUUCUUUUCAUCCUCCAUUUCGUUUGAUCAUUCUUUUUACCGGAGUUUUCACGAAGGCUCAACAUGGUGGUUCAUCAAGGAUUUAAUUCCUUCUCGAAGUGUUCAUCAACAUUCUUUUCUAAGGAGCUCAAGUUUUUUUCUUCAUCUUCCAAUCCGGAGUGCAAUUCUUUCUACCGUACCAUUGGAGGUGGUAUUAUGUCAUUCUUGAUGAUUUCCCUUCGUGCUUCGUGAGUCACAAGUUAUCAAGAAUGAGAUAUUCUAAAUCCAUCAAUCUCUUCUUUGGAUUUACCUUGGGUUAUAUUUCACCUAAAGCCUUCCCUAAGGUUUGUUGCUAUUUAUGGUGUUUAUAAAGGACCCAAGUUCUUCUUUUAUCCUUCCGUCGAAAUAAGUUUCUCGCCUCCUCGCUCAUAUCAAUCCAAUUCUUUUUCCCGUAAGUGGCUGGUUAUCACCUCAUAAUUUGAGAUGUAUUCCAUAAGACCAUAUCAAGUUUAUUCUUUUCGUUGUUGGUGUUCCAACAACUACGUUUGACCCUUCUCCUAAGGAUACCUUUUCAAGCUCUUUUGUAGCAGAAGUUGGCUUUUUCUUCUACAUUCUUUUAUCUCAAUGAUCUAUCUUCUAUUUCUCUCUGCCGGAGGCAUUGCGAUGUUGCUCUUUUCAAACCAUCAUUUUUUUUGUCAAGAUCUUGCUUCUUUCUUUUGCUUAUCCAUUUAACCGGAGUGUUCUGUCCUUUUUGCUCAAGUUCCUUUCGCCUUAUCAAGCCUUGCAUCCCUUCUCAACCGGAGUGCUGCCCAAAGUUGUUUUUCCUUGUUCCUCUUUGCUAACGGAGUGCUUUCAACUUCAUUUAUCUUCGUUGUAUUUUUUUCUCGAAAUGGCUAAUCCUUUACAAGGUUCUUUGGUUUCACUCGUUUGUCAAAGGAGCAACUUAGUUUUACCUUUUCUCUUUCUCUUCCGUUUCCCUACAGUGCCAUCCUGGAUCUCAGGUCGAGAUCUUCUCGUAGUGGUGGAGUGUUGUAACGCCCCAAGACCGGAGCUUCAGAUGCCUUCCAGGGUUUUCAGGUUUUGUUGUGUGUUUUGUUUCGUCUGUUGCAUUCAUCUUUGCAUCGUGUGCAUUGCAUCAUGUCAUCAUGCCAUCAUGUCAUUUCUUUUUCUUAACUCAACUAAAUAAAUAGCAUGGAUCUUUGAUCCAUUUAAACCGAGGGAACUCACAUGGUGGUUUCUCUUUAUAACCUAUCCUCCUGAUAGUAGGGAGCUAUAUUCAAUAUUUCUUUAAUUUGAUAUUCACCAUAACACACGUGCAAAAAUAAUCCUCAUGCCUAUUUCCACUUCGAGUUUGACCUUCAAAUCUUGCCCACAAUUCUGUAUCUCUUUUAUCGAGGUUCCUCUAAAAACCGAACAUUUUGGACCUUCCAAACCUCCACUUCCUAUUCACCCAUUUGAAUCUCAUUCAAAUGUGUUUGAAUAUAAACCUUGCAUCCAUGCGCACUCAUAUUUUUCUUGGAUUAGACUCAUUUUUAUGAGUUUGAGAAUAUAUUAUUUCUCCUACCAUCUUCUUUUCUCUCUUUUCUUUCUUUAUUUCUUGUUUUUCUUCUUUGUUUUUUUCUGUUCUUUAGAGUGAGAGAGAGAGAGCCCAGCCCAGCUACAACCUAUGCUAGGCCGGCCCUUUAGGCCCACCUAACCAUUGCAUGCAGCCCACUAGUGCCGCAACCCUAGACCCAGGGAGCCCGACUCCCUUCUCCCUCGAUACCUUCCCCUCGCGCCGCCAUCUCCCUCCCGCCCGUUUCCUUCGAUCCCAUCUCCCUGGUCUCUCCCCCUCGCUUUCCCCUUGCGUCGCCAGGGAGGACCGAGCCCGAUACCAUCUCUCCCCAUCGACCCUUCCCCUCGCAUGCAGGAGCCUUCGUCCUCCUCCUGCGCCGCCCUGCAAGCAGAGAAGGAGGGAGAGUUCCACACGCAUAGGGCUGCGCCCUCGAUCCUCCAUCUCUCCCUCGCUCUUCCUCCAUCCUCUGCUGCAGCCUCGCACGCCCAGGACCCCGAGCAGGAGCGCCGUCCUUGUCUCCUCGCUCGCGCCUCCUCUGUUCCCAUGGCGAUGCCGUCCGGCCACAGCCACCUGCACGCCCGACACCACCCCGCCUCCAAGUUCGCCGCCGCCUCACUGUCGCCAUGGCCUGAAGCGGCGCCUCGGUUGCUUCUUGUACCACAACCGCCGGCUCUCCUUCCUCCUACCCGGUUCCCCCUACCGGCGUCGAGCUGCGCCGCAGCACCGACCUCGCUCUGCCCUUGCAGCUGCUGCUUCGUCGCUUCGUGCCCGCGCCUCUUCCUCCCUCCGUUCAGCCGCAAGCGCGCCGUCGCCUUCUUCGAGCAGCAGUAGUUUGUUUCGCUGCUUUCUGAUGAGCACCCGCCCUGGCCAUUUUCUCCUGCUGCCUUGAGCAGCCCCUUCAUGACCGUAACCGAGACCGUUGUUCUGUUACGUUUUGGACAUGCCGAGAACCGAGGCCUUUUUUUUGCUGCUUCGCUUUGGAGGCGCCAAGAUCCUCUCUGACAAGUGUACGACUACAUGGUGACUCGUGUGUACCACUACCGUCACCCCAAAAACAUUGGAGUCAUCAAGUACCCCUCCGAACGAACGCGAACGACUACCACCGCAAGAACGGGACCGGCAAGUCCGAAGACCCCAUUACCACAACAUCGAUGACCACAUAGACCGCCAAGACCGGACCUGUCAAGUACCCUUCAGAUUCAUCAAUACCCUCAUGUACCACUAGAGCUGAUGAUGCAACAAGUACCCCAACGUCAUGUGUACAACGACCGUCACCGAAAACCCUGGUAGCAGAACGCCAAGUACCUCUCUGAAAAACGAACGUGUACCACUACGUCUGGAGGCACCGGAUCCAUCAAGUCCAACAACGACCAUGUACAACUAUUGGCGACCCCAAACGACUACGAAACGAGAACCUCUACUUCCCCUCCAAAACGUGUACCACUAUGCCGCCCUAACGUCUACGGAACAUGUACCACGACCAUCGUUGGAGACCCCGUGGACGUCAAGUUCCAUGUCGUGACCACGAACAUCUACGGACAUGAACCACUACUUCCCUCGGCGUCCCGAGAACGUCUACUUCCCCUACACCGCUUUGAAAUUGAACCCCUCUGAUACCGCACGCUUCGAAGGUAUAACCGCCGAGACGACCGCCUGUGAACGAAUGCUUGUGUGAUGUAUGAGAUGCCCGUGCGUUGCUCGGUCCUCCUCUUUUGCCGCUAACCCGUGGGUACCCGGUAUCUGGGAGCACCCCACCAUCUUUUGCAUGCUCCCGUCACUUUUCCUUUUGCACCGGUAUUUCCAUGAGCUACCGGAACCAUUAUCGUUGCCGUGGCACUCCCUUUCUAUCCACCACGGCGACAAAUGUUUCUUAAUGCUCUUGUCAACUUUUAAUAAAAAUUGCAUAAACUUGAACAUGUCAUCCGCAUCAUGUUAACGACUUUAAGAUGUUUAAAAUUGUUGUUGCAAUAAAUUGCUAAUGCAUAUGGGGAUUUACCGGAUUUGUUGUUUGUUAUAUCCGGCCCCAUUUAAAUUGUUUAAAUGGUAUAGUUUUGUUAUGAUUCACCUCUUGCCAUGUUAACCAACAUUUAAUGCUGUUGAUUACCUAACCGAGAGUGAACUAAAUAAUUGAUGUGGUGUUCCGUCAAUAUGCAAUGGAGUUGCAUAUUGAGCUCCACUUAAUUUGUAGGAUUGCUUGUGCACUUUGCCAUGCCAUGCCUCUUUAAUCCGGACAUCCAUCAUACUUGUUUUUGCAUCAUGCCAUGAUUAUGUGAGGGUUGUUUACUAUGUUGUUUGCUUCUUUUCGAUGUGCUUCUUCGGGUUGGUUCCGAUAAUGUCGCUUUUGUGAGGAUUCGUUCGACUACGUCCGUUUGUCUUCUUCAUAGACUUGUUCUUCUUGCUUGCGGGAUCUCAGGCAAGAUGACCAUACCCUUAAAAUCACUUCUAUCUUUGCUUGCUAGUUGCUCGCUCUUUUUCUAUGCCUAUGUUGCGAUACCUACCACUUGCUUAUCAUGCCCCCCAUAUUGUUGAACCAAGCCUCUAACCCACCUUGUCCUAGCAAACCGUUGUUUGGCUAUGUUACCGCUUUGCUCAGCCCCUCUUAUAGCGUUGUUAGUUGCAGGUGAAGAUUGGAGCUUGUUCCAUGUCGGAACAUGGGUAUUUUGUUGGGAUAUCACAAUAUCUCUUAUUUAAUUAAUGCAUCUAUAUACUUGGUAAAGGGUGGAAGGCUCGGCCUUAUGCCUGGUGUUUUGUUCCACUCUUGCCGCCCUAGUUUCCGUCAUAUCGGUGUUAUGUUCCCAGAUUUUGCGUUCCUUACGCAGUUGGGUUAUAAUGGGAACCCCUUGACAGUUCGCUUUGAAUAAAACUCCUCCAGCAAGGCCCAACCUUGGUUUUACCAUUCGCCACCUAGCCUCUUUUUCCCUUGGGUUAGGCCAGCCCAAGGGUAAUCUUUAUUUUAAUCCCCCGGGCCAGUGCUUGUCUGAGUGUUGGUCCAACCCAGAGCACCGUGCGGGGCCGUCCCUUGGCAACUUGGGUUACGUUGGAUUCCGUACGCUUAGCUUAUCCGGUGUGCCCUGAGAACGAGAUAUGUGCAGCUCCUAUCGGGACUUGUCGAAAUAGCGGGUGGUCUUGCUGGACUUGUUUUACCAUUGUCGAGGAUGUCUUGUAACCGGGAUUCCGAGUCUGAUCGGGUCGACUACAACCUUCUCCUUAGGAGCUGCGCCACAGGUACAAUGUGCACUCCAUCCCCAUCUGCAAGGACGAUGAGGUGCGGGUCGACUGCAACCUUCUCCUUCGGAGCUGCGUCACAAAUACAACGUAGGCUCCAACCCUGUCCGUGAGGACAACGAGAUGCAGGUCGAAAGAUUAUUCAAAGUAAAGAGCAAAUCCCACUUGAAGGCAAAUACAAGCAUAUUCAGAAAUAAACCAAGUUCAGACAAAUCCUAAAAAUUCCAGAUGACGGAUCUAAAGUAUUCGAGCACCAAGCCCGAAGGAGUUUAACGGUUACAACAACCACUCGGCAUUCCGAGGAAAAUUUAAGGUAGAUUUAAAUCUCAAAGAUUGUUCAUUCGGUAGGAGGAGGGCUGGCGAGUUCGACGAAUUCAUCCAAGUCAAUUCCAUCUACAAUCCGAGUGGCAGCAACGAUGAAAGUCUCCAUAAAGGACUGGAAAUCAUGUCUUUUGUUGUUGGCGACCUUGAUCGCCGCCAGCUUAUCUUCGCGGGCUUCCUUGUAGUGGACUCUUACCAAGGACAACGCCACGUAAGCACCACACCGGGCAGAGGACUUCUUCCAUUCUUGCACUCGACCAGGGACCUCAUUGAGGCGAGCCAUCAGAGACUCGAGGUCAUUUUGAAGCGUCGCCUUUGCCAGAGUGAUGAGUCGAUUCGUGAAACUGCCACCUUCAGACGAGCGAGGUAAUUUGUAACACUGGCGACACGGGAUUCCAGUCGAAGCACAUUCAUGGCACCCUCGUCGCUGACUGGAGAAACAAUAGGGUCCAAACCCAUCUCGAUCCGUCCAGUCUCCUCGUCAAAGUUUUGGCAGAAUUCUGCAGUCAAAGAGUUAGUGAGUCGACUGGACUGGACUAACUUGCAAGUAGUAAAGCAGUCGGAUUAAAAGGAGUACCUUCCAACAUAAGAAAGAGCUUCUUGGCAAGAGUUCUCAGAUAAGCUUCCACGGCAUUUCUCUUACAAGCCGUAGAUUCCAGCUUCUCAUUUAGAGCCAUCUUAUCCUUCUUCAGGCGAGUUAUGUCUCGGUUGGACUCAAUGAGAGAGGACUUCAGCUCGCUUACUUCUUCUUCCAGCACUCCGACCGAAGCCAGCUUCUAGUCAGCAAGGGCAGUCUUAUCUUGAGCCUCCUUCUGCGCAGCUUCUAGGUCCGAGUCCUUCUUCUCCAGAGCCAACCUCAUUUUCUCUACAAAAUAAGAAAUCAGAUCAAACAAGAGAUUGGAGAAAUAUUUUAAAGGACGGUAGACGUGAGCAGUCGAUAGGCAGUUACCUUCCAUACCAGCAGCUUCAUCUUGAGCUUUCUUCAAUUUUUGUUCAGCCAACUCCAAGUCAAGGUUGAGUUGCCUCUACUUCUCCUCAAAUUCGGCGAACUUGGAAAUGAGAGUACAAGAUUUCUGCAGAGGGUAAAAGACAUAUCAAUCGACAACAUCAAAGAUUAUUUACUUCCGAGAGAAUAAAACUUAAAAGUUUACUCAGACCCCAACCGACCGCCCGCAGUCGGCCGUGGUCUCGGGGACUACACCCAGCGGGUGCACUUGGCGUGCCCCCACUGAUUCAGAUCCCACUCGACCGGUCCGCCCGGGUCGAGUAUAUAUAAAAAAGAAGAAGAAAGAGAGAAGAACUAUUCAGACCCCGGCCAACUGCCAGCAGUCGACCGCGGUCUCGGGGACUACACCUAGUGGGUGCACUUGACGUGCCCCCACUGGUUCAGAUCCCACUCGACCGGUCUGCCUGGGUCAAGUUGAAGAAAGGAAAGUGAACAGAAGUACUCAGACCCCAGCCGACUACCCGCAGUCGACUAUGGUCUCGGAGACUAUGCCUUAUGGGUGCACUUAGCAUGCCCCCACCGGUUCAAAUCCCACUCGACCAGGCCGAGUGGAAGAGCGCAAAUACUAAAGACAACAAAACACCCAAUGGGUGUAUAGACUCGACGCAAACAAUAAGAGAUUAUAUGAAAGAAAAUAUUUCAGGUAGCAUAUCCUAAUAGAACAAGGUCAGUCGAAAGCCAACUUACUUGUACAUUGGCCUGAAGAGCCGCGCUGGCAUCGUAAGCAGCCUGGCUGUUGUCGUGCAGCGUCUUCAUCCGCUCCAUCAUCACGAUAGCCUGACGGAUGGCCUCCACAGCGGCGUCCGACUGGCUUUCCGGAACAUGAUAUUUGGUGAAGGGAGCAGACGGCCUAGAUGUGGCAGCUUGGAGCUCCGAGGCAUGAGGUUGGACGGCUGAAGGAAACACUGGUACAAUUGACGGUGCGGGGUGCUCACUCGACAAUGGGACAACAAAAGUUACAGAGGCCCCACCUGCAUCUCCAGGUUGUUGGACAGUUGGUUCUGUCAUCAGUCCCGGCUGAGAUGUCUUGCCAGCCGCUAAUUAUUUGUUCUUUCUGGGCCUCAGGGCCACAUCUUCAUCAUUAUCCGGAAGCUCGAUAACGUUGGGUGGGGCUGCAAAUAAAUCAGUCGACCCCAAGUGAAUCGCUAGAAUUUAAUUGACCAAAUAAUCAAGAACAAGAUCACCAAAAUUGUACAUGGGUUGGAGGUAACCGCGUCUUCCAUUUCCUCAUCUCGGUGUUGGCGGGAGGAAGUUCCAGAGGUAGUAGCACUACAAAUGUCAGCAUUCAGUCAGUUAUGUUCUGUUACUCGAGUCGACCAAAGGAUCAGGUCAGAUGGUUACCCAGAGAUGGUGGGAAUGGUCACUUUGAUUCUGGGCAAAGCCUUCGGCAGUUUGGAGGAUGCGACCUUCAAUGGUUUCAGUGCUGGAGACGGCGUGGUCUUGAGCUGUUUCGAUGCUUUCUCGGCGGCACCGGAGAAGACGUCCAAGGGCGCUUUGAAGACUGCCCAGUUGGUGCGGCCACCAGGUUAGGGGUGCUUGCCAGGUCGUGAGCGUUCUUGGACCUCCUUUCUCUGCGAGGAGGUGAGUCGACCUCUUCUUCGUCACUCGUGUCGUCGCUCUCCUCGCCCUCCUCUGCAUCUGAGUGCCACUCGCCACUCUCGCCCCCGCUCGCCUCUCCCUCGACAUUUUGCUCCCGCACUCCAUUGUGCAUUGAGUACAUAUCAACAAGAGCCUGAAAGACAAGAAAUAAAAGAAAGACAGUCGACCGUCAACAAGAUGCUACACAAUAAAACAAGAAGACACUCGACAAUGCAGUAUCGUACCUGUUUUGGCUGGCGCGAAUGGUCGAAUAGAACCACCCUCCUGGACCCUCGGGGAUUAUCCUUGUUACCGAUAAUACCCCUCAGCCACUGCUCCAUCGUGUCCUCGCUAACAUCCUCCGGGUGGAUCCGAGUGGAACCCUCGAGUCCCGAGUACAUCCACAUCGGAUGGUCACGAGCUUGGAGUGGUUGGAUGCGUCGACUGAGGAAGACCUCCAACAGGUCCAUACUUGUCACUCCGUCGCGGACAAGUUGGACAACCCGCUCUACCAACACCUUCACAUGCGCCUUCUCCUCCGGGAUCACUCUCAAGGUAGAGGGCUUCUCCACUCGAGCCAUGGAAAAGGGGGGAAGUCCAAUGGACUGGCCCAGAGUCGAUUGGUCCUUGCAGUAGAACCAGGUUGAUUGCCAACCCCGGACCGAGUCGGGAAGGAUCAUAAUUGGGAAAGUUCUUUUGUUCCUCAUUUGAAUUCCAAGACCCCCGCACAUCUGUAUCACGUGCGUCCUAUCGUCACUCGGGCUGGCCUUCUUGACCGUCUGAGAGCGACAUGUGAAUAUGUGCUUGAAGAGACCCCAGUGUGGUCACAACCCAAGAAGUUCUCGCACAUAGACACGAAAGCGGCAAGGUACACGAUGGUGUUUGGAGAAAAGUCGUGGAGUUGAGCCCCAAAGAAGUUCAAGAAACCGCGAAAGAAAGGGUGGGGAGGCAAAGAAAACCAGCGGUCAACAUGGGUGGUAUGGAGAACACACUAACCCUCCUGCGACUGCGGCUCAGUCUCGUUCCCCGGGAGCCGCGCCGAUUUGUGGGGGAUCAGUCCCCCCUAAACCAGGUAGUCGAUGUCAUCUUUACUGAUUGUCGAGUGGAUCCAUUCGCCCUGGAUCCAGCUAGGCGGCAGGCCGGACCUUGACGAAGAUCUGCCCCGGCUGGUCUUCUUCCCUUUUGCCUUCGUCGCCGCCUUCUUGGCACGCUCCAACACCACCGUCUUCUCCUUCCCCAUGGCAGUGAAUUGAGUUCGAGCGGAGUGAUGACACCGAGAGCAGAAGCAGGCGCAGCGGAGGAAUCUAAGGAGGAGGAAGAGGAAUGGAGGUGCACUGUUCAAAAACCCCGGUCCGAUGCCUUAUAUAAGGUCACUUCCGAGUGACUGAUUUGUAGGCCCGGACGAUCUUAUCAAAUCCCACAACAGUCGCGCGCGCGAUAUGUGGCAAAAAAGGUGGCGCAGAGAUCGAGGCGGCCUUCCUAAUCCGUCCUAAUUAUUGCGGCCACCCCUGCCUGGCGCGCUUCCCAAAAUUCGAGUCCAUGAAAUCCACAGACGGCAGAACAACCCGUUAGACGGAAGAUUUUUUUUCCAUAUCAACACUCAAAACUUAACAACGAAAGUUCACACGACAAAACCAAGAAUGGAUCAAGGCGACUGAACAAGCAGUUGAAGCCAUCAUGAAUGUGCAUUCGACCUCGGGGCGAGACAGUCUCAAAGCACAAAAGCUGAAUCGGAGAGAUUAUGAACUCCUCCACUCGAACCCCGAACCAUUCAGGGGCUAAUGAUGAAGCUAUGUACCUAGGGUAGGGUCAUAGACCUGACCUAGACAUCCUCCACUAGGACAUCACCCUAAAGCCAGGAUCACUCAAAGGGUACCAUCAUCCACUCGACCAGAGACAUUCCACUCGGAAGAAUCAAUGUCACUCGACCAUCACAGAAGUCACUCGACAGACAAAAGAGCUAAAGCCACUCUGCAUGAGCAACGAUCAAUCAUUUAUUUAUAGGCUUAAUUGUCAUUUAUAGCACUUUAGUGUGGGCAUUACCAGUAACGUUCUCUCUUCAAUGUACCUUAAACCCUCUAUGACGUGGGCUGGCUGGGGUCCUAGCGCACUCUAUAUAAGCCACCCCCUUCCACAGGCACAAGGGUUUGCACCCCCUGUAACUCACACGCAUAUAAUCCAGUCGACCGCCUCCGGGCUCUGAGACGUAAGGCUGUUACUUCCUCCGAGAAGGGGCUGAACUCGUAAAACUGGUGUCUACAACUCCUCCAUAGCUAGGAUCUUGCCUCUAUAUUCCUACCCGCCAUUCUACUAUCAGACAUAGAACCACGACAUGCAUAUAGCCUUAUUAUUUUGCUACUGACGAUUUAUCUGGUGAGUGUAGAUGGCAUCGGUUCGGAUCCACUACAGCUCAGCCUCUGCAUUUCUCCAGUUGCUCAUUCUUAGGUGAUUGGUGUCAUUUCUGUCCCAGCUGAGUGAUGCCAAGUGAUCCUGACACUGUUUGCAAAAAUGGUGCUCAGGUAUUGCACCAAAUUAUUUCCUUCAGCCCCACAUUUUGGUUCGGUGGUAGACAUGCUUCUAUCAUGGAUCGUCUGUUUUCUUGUCAUUUUGGCAACCCUUAAUGAUCGUAGUUAUCAAGAAAGGGCAAUGACAACAGACUCAGUUUCUUCCUUGCUAUCCUUAUUUCUUGCACGAGUACAGAUAUUUUUCCGCCCACUUGAUAAUAAUGUGGUCGCGACAUUCGCAUCCUACUACAUGGUUACCAAGUAUGUCCUCGCCUCUGAGCUAGUCCAAGUUGCUACCUGGCUAAGCUAGCAAUUGAUGUAGCAUUGUUUACACCGAUUCUUCCACACAUUUAUUCGUCCUCGUGCACAUCAUCACAGCAUGCUAGAUCGUACAACCGGAGAUCCCGCAAAAUUUGUGUGCUUAAGUAGGCAUGCAUAUUGUGUGACUAGCAGUAAUAUGUGACACUGAUUGUGUGUGAAUUGAUUUUUGUUGUGUGCUUUUGUUUAGUUGAGUUUUCUUUUGCUUCUUCCUUUUUGGGCCCCGGUGUUACAUUAUUUUGCCCCUAUAAAGAGUUGCUCAUCAUCUGACACCAGACUCGAAGAAGUAAUAAGGAGUUCAAUUAUUUGGAAGCUCAGCUAAACAGAAUGGAAUUCUCAGCCGACUACAGUAAAAUGGGGAAUAUUUGAUAGUGAGGCUGAUAAUCAAAGUUUGGAUUAGUGUGCACUCCUCACGACAGUACUAAUAACUUAAGUAUGUACAAUAUAAAAUCCUCACAACAGUAAUGAUCAGCAGCAAGGCAAGUCAAGUACAAGAUCAACGGUAUAUUUUCAGUCAAAGGUAUGGGUCAUAUACAACAUUUUGGCUCAGCAAUGCAUGAUGCUUGAAAUAUGUUAUCGUCCGAAAUAAAGUCAGAAUGUGAUAUGCUCAAGGAAGACAGUUUUCAGUCUGCAUAUAUUGAGCCACAAAAUAUUAUGGGUGUCUGUGAGUGUGGAUUUCAGUCUGCAUAUCAGUAUGAAGUUUUGGAUAUAAGAAACCAGUAUUAUUCCACACGAUAUAGGAAGUAAUUUAUGAUGCAAGGCUCCUCAAUUUUCCUCAACAUGAUAUGUGAAGACUUUCCGGUUCAAGAAAUCCGGUCUUUCUCAGCAAGAUACCUCGGUAAAAGCUUCUGACAAAUGGAAAUGAAUUUUUCUAAAUAAGCAAACCCGAGGAGAAGCUUCUCAAGUACGGAACUCAGGCUUCUCCAGCCCAAUAAUCAGACCAAGCUUCGUGUAUAAGCUAUAGAGCCUUCUUCGACACGAUACCUAGACAAAAGCUUCGAGCAGAAGCUAAUGAGCAUUCCCCGGCAAACUACACAAAUGGCUUUUCUCUGCAGUUCAAGGAACAGAUUUGCCAUAAUUUGGUCAGAAAUACAAUGCAGUCAAAACAUAUUCCUACCGCAAGGAUCGAGUGUUCGGUGGCAUAUUCUCCUCAUACAUAUGGUGAGCAUGCACUCCCAAUCAUAUCAGUCACUCAUACGAGGUACGGAUCCAACAAAUAUACUUAAAGGAAAUUACGGAUCCCACAGCCUCAUGAAUCAUGAAAAGGAAGAUAAGGAGAGAUACAUCUCAUGAAUUACAAGGAUCGACAAGAUCUGGGGAUGAAAUAACAGAAUCCACAGUGUUGAUAAUGGUCAUCAAGGUCAUUAUUCCCACACCAGAGAAGGUGAUACAUGAACUCUUGUCACCUUCUUGUAUGAUUGGCCUCAGCAAUGAGCUCCAUACAGCUACAAACCCUGAGUACAUGUCAUAUAUGUGCGGACACAGGUCAGGAAGACAAGCACAAGGAAUAAUGUCAAAAAUAUUAAUCACAUCCAUGGUCAUACGAAGAAUCACGCACAUGUGUGGCCAAGAUAUUUCAGUAAGGUAUCCUUACAAAGAAAAAAUCAUGACCGUUAAAAGGUGCGACCGACAACAAAGGUAUGAUGAUUUUUCACGACCAUCAGGGUCUGGAUACCCAAAUCAGUCGGAGGCCAUAAUUCUAGGGAUGGCAAUGGGGACAAUCCCCUAUGGGGAUACCUACAACAUCCCCGUCCCCAUUUAUUCUCUAUCAUCCCAUCCCCAUCCCCGUUUACAUGAAUGGGGAUGAAAUUUCCCCAUACCCGUGCCCCACUGGGGAACGGGGCCCCAUUAGGGUCCCCAUCCCAUAAACAAAUACUCAUAUACAUAAUAUGACACCCUAUAAUCAACAUACAUACAUGGUGUUGUCCUUGUCCUACUAAUGCCUAUCUAGGUCAUAUUGACUUCUUGGUCAUGGUGGCAGCUGAGGUGAGGAUGUGAGAUAGAUUUAAGGUUUUUUCAUAGCUUUUUUUGUUUACGCAAGUUUGUUUGUGAAUAUUUUAACAUUGACUGCAGUGUCAUAGUUACUAACCGGGUCCCCGAUGGGUAUUGGUUGUGGGGAAUAGGUUAUCAUCCCCAUCCCCGUUGUACCCUAUGGGGAAUAAAUUAGUUUAGUAAAUAUCCCCAUGGGGAUGUUUUUCACCCAUCCCCACCCCCUAAUAGACGAAAUCCCCAUGGGUUUGGCGGGUAUGGGGCCCCGUUGCCAUCCCUACAUAAUUCCAUAUGGAUCCAUAAAGGCAUAUUCUCAGUGGCCUACUCUAUUUACAAGGAUUUUCAUAUCCCACUGACCCGCUUGACAUGGUUAGUGUGGAAUAUCCAAGUCUGUUCUGUUAGAUCCAAGAUUCCUUGGUAACCUCAAAAGUUUGACCUCCGCGGCAGUGUUAAAAACAUAUCACAACGUAUUACCAAAGAUGGGUAUACCGACAAAAUGAGCCAAACAAUCAGCUUAGACCCAGUAUACUCACUGAUGGAAUCAAGUAUAUGGACAGUCUGUCAAGAAAAGCAUUUGUCCGCCAGCCCCCUGUCGGGCAAAGUCUCAAGAUGUAAAUAUUUGAGGUAUGACUCCAUACACCGUUAUAUUGCUCCUGACAAAAGGCAGUCAGAUCUUUGGUACGUAUCUCACGCUCGAGCCAAAGAAAUAAAUCAAAAUCAGUACCACCUUUGACGAGUCAGACCCCGUCAGAAGGUGGCCAUGAUUAAUUCUUAGCAUUUAUUGAACCCAAAGGCCUGCAUUUAUUUGAAGCAACCCCAUGACAGAAAUAAAAAGGUUUUCAUGACCAAAAGGAAAUUCAUGAUCAGAUCCAUCGGACAUCACCAUAGAUAUGAGAAAAUCAACGUCAACAAAAGGAAGUGGUAUAUGAGCAAAAACCCGUCAGAAUUUGGGGAAACGUGAAGCAAGCCAACCCCAGAGCAAGGUAGGUUGAUCAUCUGAAAUUCUUGGGGGAAUAAUAAAUUAAGGAAAAUGGAUACCCGAGUUGGAAACGGUAUCCUCAAGUCAUACUUGUUCCCAGAGCAACUAAAUCUCGAGGAUGAUAUUUCUUUAAGGGGGUAAGAGUUGUAACAUCUUGGAUUUUGGCCUUUCCUUUUUCUUUUUGAUUUAUUUGGUUUUUGCUCUGUUUUUCUUUUUGUAGUGAUUCUGUGGCCUUGUCACCUGUGAAAUCAUCCUCAUUUUCCCUCCCUAGUGGCUUUCCAUUCUCAAAACCUUGACAAGAUCAUGUCACUUCACUCUUUGACCAAACCCUAAAAUAUUUUUCUAGGAAAUAUUCCUUUUUCUAUUAAAGGAAUAACCCUGUCUGCCAUAGGUUGUGAAGCAACCUAUAUUUAUGUCCAUCCAAUAAUUCCCAAAUAAUUCUCAUAAUUCCUUUGGGUUAUAUUUUGCUCAAAUAUGCCCAAAAUUUCCUGUCCUAGCCCAAGAUUAAUUCUCCAAAAUUCAUUCUUCCAUUCUGUCCAAAGUGACACUUUGUGAAGGAAGUACCACCUAUCCAAUCUUGUUUGCUCCCAAACUUGUGGGCAAUUCUUUUAUGUCCAAAUAAUUUCCUCAUGCUAAAAUUCAACUUUAUUUGCCUAGCCAAUCUUCCUCAGCAAUUUUUCAAACUUUCUGUCAAACAAAAGGCAUUGUGAAGGAAGUGCUAGCUAGGAGUAUCCAAAGGAGUUGAAAUUUUGCAUGCCCCUUCAGGUGCUCAUAUAAUUAUCCUCCCCCAAACUUCAGCCCCAUCCCUUGAACUAUUUGAGCACAGGACCAAAUCUUUGAUUCUGGCAAUAUUUUCAGGUUGUGAAGAAAGUGCAUUUUAUAUUGCUUCAUUAAUUCUGAGAAAAUACCAGAUUGUUCUCCUACCUAUAUAACUUCUCUCCACAAAAUUUGGCAUCAUUUCACCUAGCCAAUAUUUCUCCAAAAUUCUUGCAAGAUUCUGGCCAGUGAAGAUAGUUGUGAAGGAAGUACCAUUUUGGUAAAUCCAUUUGGUAUAAAAUUUUUACAGCACCUUUAUCUAGACAAAUCACUAAGCCCUGCCAAGUUUGACCUCAAUUGGUUACUCCAUGUGAGUGCAUCAUCCAAAUCUUAAUUCUAGACCCAUAAUGUGAGUUACAAAGCAACUAUGUUAGCUUUGCUCCAUUAUGCCUCAAAACCUCCAGGAUCAUAGUCCUUCCUUAGUUAAUCACCCUAGACAAACUCUUUGGCACAUGUAAAAUCCCUGUUGAUCACCAGUGUUCACCCAAGUUUACUGCAGUAAACUUCAGAGGGUGAUUGCCAGUUAACCAGAGCAGUUUUAACCAAACUACCACCGUGGUUGUAACCUACCCUGGAUGACCUAACCACUAGACAACAUGGUCAAGCCCCUCUCCCCCACUACAAACCAGUGCACGCGGUGACCACGACAAUGGCGUGCCUGUGCACGCGCUCUCUGUGCAGUGACCGUGUCCAGUGGCUGUUUGUGCUGGACCCCCUCCUCCUCUCGUCAUCUUCGUGUGCGUGAGCGUGUCCAAGAGUUUUACUGCGUCGUCACCGUCCUCCUGGACCUCUCUCCCUCUUAGUAAAACCCCUCGCCGAUGCUCGCCGACGCUCGGCCACGUGCGCACUGUGGCCGACCGAGCAUUAAUGGCGCCGUGGUUUCUUCCUCUUCUUGUCCCCGAGCUCCGCUCGUCUCCGUGACCUCUGCGGCUUGUCCGCACCCCUCUCAUCGCAUUCCCGUGCCACCCCGUGAUCGCUGACCGUCGCCAGAGCCUCGGCUAGACGUGCCCGGCGACACCCGAGCCCGUGCCCCUCCCCCCACCUAUAUAAGGAAGCCCCGACCCUUUCCGAGCUCAUCACCAGCCUUGCUUCGCUCCACUACCCCUCCCCGACCUCUCCCACGAGCUCCAGGAGCUUUCCUCGCCUCUGUUGGCCACCAUGGCAGCCGUGGCCGUCCACUUAAAUACGAGCUAUCCAUGCCCCCUCCCUCCUGACCUCACCAGUAGAACCACCGGAGCCAGCAGAUCCUCACCAUGCCCUUUCCCCCUCACCGAAGCCCCUAUGAUCGCCGUUCCCAAGACCGGCCGCCGCCCCCUUGCGUUCUGUUGCUGCGCGACGCCGCAGCUCUGGUCUUCCCCGGCUUCCACAGAUGAUCGGGAUGGAUGCGGUGCUCCACGCUGAGGCCGCCGAUGCCAGCGCCUCGGCCGGAGAUGGUCGGAAUCGCCUAGGCCAUCGCCGGCAGCGCCUCUGCUCCGCCUCGGUCUCCUCCCGUCGCCUUCUCCCCAUCCCUCCCCGGCGCCUCUUUCUCCUGUGGAUGGGUGCACCUUCGCAUCCUGCGACCGCCGGUGUCCUCACCUCGGCCGGAGACGCCCGGAGUUGGCCGGGCCGGCGCCGGCCUCUUCCCUGCCCUCGCUCCUCUGUCUCUGAUUGAGGAGGCAGCGAGGAGGAAGAAUAAAGGCGCGAGGAGAGAGAUGGAUAAGGCGGGACCCGCCCAUCAGCCGUACAGCGCCCCGGGCCCACCUCUGAUGACGUGGAUAAGUGGAAGCGUCAACCCGCAGAGUACGUGUUCGCUUUCAGAAAGCGUAUUCCAGUUUCUCUUCGGCCAAAAAUACAUUUUCUCUGUUCUGAAAGCGUAUUUCCCUAAAAUAUGUUUUCUGUUUUUCAGCUCAGGGGCCUGUUUGUAGAGUUUAUUUUACAUAUUGGUCCCUGGAGUUCAAACUAUCAUAUGUUUUUGCUCGAGACUCCGAUUGAGGUGAAUCCAAAGCCCACUUCUUCGUUUCAUCGAGCCCGUUCUGUUGGUAACAUUUUCAUGAUGUUUCGACAUUCUAAAAAUGACCAUUUUACCCUUGUGCUUAAUCAGCCCCCCUCCGAGAAUGAACGCUUUCCGGUGAUUCGUUCCGCGAGUUUCUUGCAUUUUCUCCCGGUGAUUUCUUCCACCCUAGGCAAGCCACACCCUCCAUUUGCAUGAUUUCAAUGCAGUAGCAUGGUUUAAGUUAUUUGAACUUGUUUAAAAUAUUGCAGUAGCUAUGUAUGAUUUGUUCGUGGCAUUUCCCGGAGUAUUGUUUAAAGCUUGAUAUUGCUAUGAUAUUGCUUGGAGUUUUAGGACUUAUAUUUUGAUGAUCGUGUGGAUGAUAUGUUUCCUUUGGAUUCUUAGUGGCUGUUAUGAUUAUUUUUGUGAUGGUAUCUGUUAUUAUAUUUUGGAGUAUUACCUUGGAUAUCAUGCUGCCUUUGGAUUAUUACUGGUUAGUGUGAUUAUUUUCAUGACGCUAGUUGAAGUUCUUGUAACACCCUCGAUGCGACUAUAUCUCCCACGUGUCGAGGCACGACUUAGAGGCAUAAUCGCAUUGAAGGCAUAUGUCGCAAGUUAGGCAAUCUUCACAACAUCACAUGUAAUAUAGAUAAUAAAAGGGGAGAUAACAUAGUUGGCUUACACUCGCCACGUCAAGCAAGUACAUAAAUAACAUUACAUCAUCCAAACACUCAUAGCCCGACUACGGCGCCAAAAUAAAAGAUAACCCAACAUGCGACACGGUCCCGAUCACCCCCAACUGGGCACCACUAUUGAUCAUCAGGAAAGGAGACAUAGUAACGUUGAGAGUCCUUGUCGAACUCCCACUUGAGCUCAAGCGCGUCUCCUGGAGCGGAAUCAUCAGGCCCUGCAUCUGGUGUAAUAGUAAUCUGUGAGCCACAGGGACUCAGCAAUCUCGCACCCUCGUGAUCAAGACUAUUUAAGCUUAUUGGUAAGGCAAGGUAAAUAUGUGGAGCUGCAGCAAGCGACUAGCAAAAUAUGGUGGCUAACUUAUUUGCAAAAGAGAGCGAGAAGAGGAGGCAAAGCGGGAGCGAGAAACUAGAGAGCAACCUGCGUAAAACAUUACUCCAACACUGUGUCCACCUCCCGGACUCCGCCGAGAAGAGGCCAUCACGGUAACACACUCAGUUGAUUCAUUUUAGUUAAGUUAAGGUUCAAGUUGUCUACAACUGGACAUUAGCAAAUUCCCAUCUGCCCAUAACCGCAGGCACGGCUUUCGAAAGUUCAAAUCCCUGCAGGGGAGUCCCAACUUAGCCCAUGACAAGCUCUCACGGUCAACGAAGGAAUAGACCUCCUCCCAAGACGUUCCGAUCAGACUCGGUAUCUCGGUUCUUCCAGACACUUCGACAGGUUAAAACAAGACCUGCAAUACCGCCCGAAUGUGCCGAAAAAUCCCGAUAGGAGCUGCACAUAUCUCUUUCUCAGGGCACAAUCGGAUAAGAAAUUCAUACAACUAAAACCAGCCCUCAAGUUUCCCCGAGGUGGUGCUGCAAGGGGCUCUAGGUUGGACCAACACUCAGAGGAGCACUGGCCCGGGGGGGGGGGGUUAAAAUAAGAUGACCCUCGGGCUCCGGAAACCCAAGGGAAAAAGAGGCUAGGUGGCAAAUGGUAAAACCAAGGUUGGGCACUGCUGGAAAAGCUUUAAUCAAGGCGAACUAUCAAGGGGUUCCAUUAUAACCCAACCGCGUAAGGAACGCAAAAUCCAGGAACAUAACACCGAUAUGACGGAAACUAGGGCGGCAAGAGUGGAACAAAACACUAGGCGAGAGGCCGAGCCUUCCACCCCUAACCAAGUAUAUAGAUGCAUUAAUAUAACAUGGCAAUAUAAUGAUAUCCCAAUAAGUAAAUAAAUGUUCCAACAAGGAACGGCCUCCAAGCUUCACUUGCAACUAGCAACGCUAUAAGAGGGGCUGAGCAAAGCGGUAACAUAGCCAAUCAAUGGUUUGCUAGGACAUGGUGGGUUAGAGGUUUGACAUGGCAAUUUGGGAGGCUUGAAAGCAAGUGGUAGGCAUCGUAGAAUUAGCAUAGCAAAAGAGCAAGCAAAACUAGCAUAGCAAAGAUAGUAGUGAUUUCGAGGGUAUGAUCAUCUUGCCUGCAUAGUUGUCAGAGUUGACUGGAUCCUCGAAAGCAAACUCAACGGGCUCCUCGUUAGCGAACUCGUCUCCCGGCUCUACCCAAACAAGACAACAAGCAACAAGGACACAAAUCAACCACGUGCAAUGAUCAAACAAUAUGAUGCAAAGGUGGUAUGCUAUGCGGGAUGCGACGCGGGAUGCAUAUGCAAGAUUUGACAAGGAAAGCGUGAACCUGGCCUCAACUUGGAAAUACAAGUGUGCCACUGGAAAGAUGAGAUGAAAUCGCUUGAAAACAAUAUAAAGAAUGCCGAAAUCGGAGUUACGGUUUGGAAAUGGCAAGCGAUUCAAAUAUGGUCACGUUCUGCGAUUUACAGCAAGUAGCCAUCUAAAUGCAACGAAAUGAACAUGCUACAACACCCAAACAUGACAACAAGAUACAUGGCAGGGAUGCAUUCAACAUUCUUAACAAAAGUCUAGCACUGAGCUACGUCCAAAUCAUCCAUUAACAGGUUCAAACAAGCAUGGCAAGAAUGCAUAUGGCAAACAAAUCUCAGACUUGGUGAAAUUACACUUGUCUGGAAUUUCAGAUCAGGUAGCACACUUUGGAGUAACAAAACUAUAUGCUACAGAACCUAAACAUGGCAAAGUAAAGCAUGGCAUGGAGCUACUCAAAGAGCUUAACAAAAGUCCCUUAGUGACCUUGAGCCAAAAGGGAUCAGAAAAUACAAUUGCAAGCAUGUGAACAUGGCAAAAACAUAAUCACUUCUCAUACUUAGUGAAAACUGGAGCAUGCUGAAAUAUAAGUCAAGUAGGCAUGUUUACGAGCUCGAUGCACUCAAUACGGAGCAAGUCAUGAUAAGCUAAGCUUACACCCAUCAAUAAUACACAAAACGCAAGCUAGACAUAGCAAGAACAAUAGCAUAGCAUGCACGGAUCAACUACAACAUCAUCGGCAAAAUUGCAAACAAGUUGACAAUCUGCCCAGAUUCACAAAGUAGCAAAAGUAGAGCUCGAUUGACUCAAGCUAGGAUGCUCCAUAAUUGCAAACAAAGAUAUGGAUGGAUAGAGCACUACAAGAUUAAUAAAACAUCCUUACUGAUCAUCCUCAAAAGAGGCACAGAAGUCCCUGAAAUCAGCACUAACGAGUGCACCACUUUGUAAGCUCGUGCUAGUCACCACACACAUCUCAAAAAUACAUGGGUUGCACCUUUGGAAAGAUGGCAAAACCCUUAACAAAACAUAUGUAGACCAUCAGGGCAUAUUAUGCACACAAUAAUCAUGGCAAAAAUGACAAAUGUCUAAAUGGAGUAGCAGAUCUGACAAUUAUCUCAAGUAGCCCUCUUCUAACAGCAUUUCAGGCAUCAAGAUAAACUCAAAUGAAAAUGACGCAAUGGAAUGAAAUGAUGUACUCUCUGAGAUGAACAUUUCGAUAUGCUAUAUGCCAAAAACCGAGUUACAGAUACGGAGAUACGACACGAUGAACAGGAGCACUUGAAACUGAAAAACACGGGGACUUAGUAGAAUUUCGACCUCCAGAUCUAGGGUUUGACCCGGCAUGCAAAACGAGGUGGUGGUGCUGCUCGCCGGAGAUGAUGAAGACGGCGGCCGGCGAGGUCGAGGUCGCCGGAUCCGGUCGCUCCUCGACCGGAUGUGGCCGGAGGUGGGAGGCGGCGCGCUGCGGCGGCUUGCACGGCGGCGGCGACGGCGGGGACNNNNNNNNNNNNNNNNNNNNNNNNNNNNNNNNNNNNNNNNNNNNNNNNNNNNNNNNNNNNNNNNNNNNNNNNNNNNNNNNNNNNNNNNNNNNNNNNNNNNNNNNNNNNNNNNNNNNNNNNNNNNNNNNNNNNNNNNNNNNNNNNNNNNNNNNNNNNNNNNNNNNNNNNNNNNNNNNNNNNNNNNNNNNNNNNNNNNNNNNNNNNNNNNNNNNNNNNNNNNNNNNNNNNNNNNNNNNNNNNNNNNNNNNNNNNNNNNNNNNNNNNNNNNNNNNNNNNNNNNNNNNNNNNNNNNNNNNNNNNNNNNNNNNNNNNNNNNNNNNNNNNNNNNNNNNNNNNNNNNNNNGCUGGGCCGCGCGGGCCUCGGUGGCGGCGGGUGGCGGCGGUUGGCGGUGGCGGAUCCGGACGCGUCCGGCUCCGUUCGGACGUGUCCGGCGGCGGCGGAGAUCCGAAAUUUUAGGGUUAGGACGGGGGAGGAUACAGAUAUUUGGGGAGAGGCCUUUAUAUAGGCAUAGAGGGAGCUAGGAGAGUCCAAAUGAGGUGCGGUUUUCGGCCACGCGAUCAUGAUCGAACGCUCUAGAUGAUGGAGCAGGUUUAGGUGGGUUUUGGGCCAAAUAGAAAGGGUGUUGGGCUGCAACACACAUGAGGCCUUUUCGGUCCCUCGGUUAACCGUUGGAGUAUCAAACGAAGUCCAAAUGAUAUGAAACUUGACAGGCGGUCUACCGGUAGUAAACCAAGGCCGCUUGGCAAGUCUCGGUCCAAUCCGGAAAUGUUUAAUCCCCCCCACACAAAAGAAAGGUAGAAAUGACCACCGGAGGGGAACGAAGCGCCGGAAUGCAAAACGGACAACGGGGAAAAUGCUCGAAUGCAUGAGAUGAACACGUAUGCAAAUGCAAUGCACAUGAUGACAUGAUAUGAGAUGCAAGACAACGAUAACAACACACGGAGACAAAGGCCCGAACCCGAGAAAAUAAAAUAAAAUAACUUAAUGCCAGAAACGGCAAGAGUUGGAGUACAAAUUGGGAAAGCUACAUCCGGGGUGUUACAACACUCCACCACUACGAAAGGAUCUCGUCCCGAAAUCUAGGACUGAAAGAACGUCGGGUACUCAGAACGGAGGUGAUCCUCGCGUUCCCAGGUAGCUUCACGGUCAGAAUGGUGUGACCACUUGACUUUGAGAAAUUUGAUUGACUUGUUGCGAGUCCUGCGUUCAGUCUCUUCAAGAAUAGCAACUGGGUGCUCACGAUAGGAGAGAUCUUCUUGGAGCUCAAUGUCCUCGAAGUUAACGGUGCGGUCAGGAGUCUUGAAGCACUUUCGGAGCUGAGAGACAUGGAACACAUCAUGAACAUUUGCAAAGUUUGAAGGAAACUCGAGUUGAUAGGCGAGAUCGCCUCUCUUGCUGACAAUCUUGAAAGGUCCCACGUAUCUAGGGGCAAGCUUCCCUUUGAUACCUAAGCAACGAGUACCUUUCAUAGGAGAGACGCGGAGGUAAAUAUGAUCUCCGAUCUCGAAAGCCAAAUCACGGUGCUUACUAUCAUAGUAGCUCUUCUGAUGAGAUUGGGCUGCUUUGAGGUUAUCACGAAUGACUUUGCACAUUUCCUCUGCCUUUGUGAUUAAGUCAUUACCCAAAAGCUGACGUUCACCCGUUUCAGACUAGUUGAGAGGGGUACAACACUUCCUGCCAUACAGAAUUUCAAAUGGGGCCUUGCCCGAACUUGCUUGAAAACUGUUGUUGUAGGAGAAUUCAGCAUAAGGAAGACAAUCCUCCCACUUCAUGCCGAAGGAGAUCACACAAGCCCUGAGCAUAUCUUCAAGAAUCUGGUUGACACGCUCGACUUGACCGCUAGUUUGAGGAUGGAAAGCUGUGCUGAAGUGGAUGUUGGUGCCCAUGGCCUUAUGAAAAGAAUCCCAAAACUUCAAGGUAAAGAUGCUGCAAUGGUCUGAAGAGAUCACUUGUGGAAUACCAUGCAGGGAGACAAUUCGAGAGGUAUAGAGUUCCGCUAAUUGAGCUGCAGUGAUCGACUCUUUGAUAGGCAGAAAGUGAGCCACUUUGAUGAGUUUGUCGAUGACAACGAAUAUAGCAUCAUUGCCACGCUUGGACUUAGGAAACCCAGUCAUGAAGUCCAUUUCAAUGUGGUCAAACUUCCAUUCUGGAAUGGCAAGAGGUUGGAGGAGACCAGCUGGCCUUUGGUGUUCUGCCUUCACUCUUCUGUAGACAUCACAUUCAUUCACGAAUUGAGCAAUGUCGCGCUUCAUUCGAGUCCACCAAUAAGCCUGCUUGAGGUCCUGAUACAUCUUCGUGCUCCCAGGGUGGCUGGAGAGGAGAGAAUUGUGAGCCUCGUUCAUGAUCACUUUACGAAGUUCACCUUUGGGUACAACAAUACGAUCCUCGAAGAAGAGAGUGUCCUUGUCAUCAAGGCGGUAGCACUUGUACUUGGGUUGACUCUUGGCAAUCCCAAUCUUCACCUUUUUCACCAUAGCAUCAAGAAGUUGGGCUUGGUGAAUCUGAUCUUCCAAGGUUGGAGAGACUUGAAGGUUGGCGAGGAACCCUUGACGAACAACUUGCAGAUUAAGUUUGCGGAAAGCUUCACAAAGCUCUGGUUGAUAAGGCUUGAGAAUCAGGCUGUUGCAGUAAGCUUUCAUGCUCAAUGCGUCAGCAAUCACAUUGGCCUUGCCUGGAGUAUACUCGAUACUCGGAUUAUACUCUUGAAUCAUUUCGACCCAUCGAGUUUUCCUGAGGUUGAGAUUAGGCUGAGUGAAGAUGUACUUGAGACUCUUGUGAUCAGUGAAAAUGUCCACUUUUCUUCCCAAUAAGAGAUAUCUCCAAGUCAAAAGAGCAUGCACAACUGCCGCCAACUCGAGAUCAUGAGUGGGGUAGUUCUUCUCAUUAGGAUUCAACUGGCGAGAGGUAUAAGCAACAACUUUCUUCUCUUGCAUCAAUACUGCGCCAAGACCUUGGAGAGAGGCAUCACAAAAGACCUCGUACGGCUUGGAUUCAUCAGGCGGAGUCAGAACUGGAGCAGUGAUCAAUUUCUCUUUCAAAGUGUUGAAAGCAAUGUCACACUCCGGAGACCAAACGUACUUGACGUGCUUCUAGAGAAGAUUUGAGAGAGGCUUCGUGAUCUUAGAAAAGUUUUCAACGAAUCUUCGGCAAUAGCUUGCGAGAUCGAGGAAGCUGCGGAGUUGCUUCACGUUCUGAGGAUGUUCCCAAUUCACAAUUGCAGACACCUUCUCAGGAUUCACCGCAAUGCCCUUGGCAGGGAUGAUAUGACCAAGAUAAAGAACCUCAUCGAGCCAAAAUUCGCACUUGGAGAACUUGGCGUAGAACUAAUGUUCCCUGAGCUUAUCGAGUACCAAACGCAAGUGCUUGGCAUGAUCUUCCUUGUUCUUGGAGAAAACCAGAAUGUCGUCGAGAUACACCAAAACGAAGUCAUUGAUGUAGGCGUUGAAGAUGAAGUUCAUCAUGCGAGAGAACGUCGGAGGAGCGUUGACGAGGCCAAAAGACAUGACAGUGUAUUCAUAUGAACCAUAGCUUGUCCUGAAAGCCGUCUUGGGAAUAUCUUGCUCACGGAUUCGAAUCUAAUGAUAACCCAUACGGAGAUCAAGCUUGGAGAAUACUUGGGCACCUUUGAGUUGUUCAAACAGCUCGUUGAUGUUGGGAAGUGGGUAUUUGUUCUUGAUGGUCUUCUUGUUCAAUGGACGGUAAUCAACACAAAGUUGGUCCGUUCCAUCCUUCUUCUUCACAAAAAGAACACCACAACCCCACGGAGAAGAACUAGGCCGGAUGAGACCCAUUUUCUCUUGAAUAUCGAGUUGCUUCUUCAGCUCCUUCAACUCUUCAGGUCCGAGCUUGUAAGGACGCUUGCACACAGGUUCCGUGCCGGGCUCAAGAUCAAUGACGAAUUCAACUGGCGGUGCGGAGGCAUUCCUGGAAGCUCUUCUAGAAAGACAUCUUGAUAUUCGCAAACGACUGGAAUUUGCGAGAUGGCAUCGAGUUCACCCUUCUCAUUGAGAAGUUGGAGGAUUCGGAGUCAUGCGCGUUGGAGGAGCCAUCCUGAAGAGGUUGACAUCCAUUAGCACAUUGAUAGACAAAUAUUGAAGCUGAAUCCAACGGAAUGAAAAUUGCAACAUAUAGUCUUCACAUCCGAACAAAAUGAACGAAUGCAUUCCUCUUGAAAUGGUCACAUAUCCAUAAAUUGAGAAGCCACUUAGAAUUACGGUAGAGAAAUAAAUCAACAAGGUACGGAUCGAGAACGAAUAGCCGGUAAGAAAUCCCAAUCUCAAACCAACUAUCCGUGGAAGAAGAACUCGAGCUACUAGAAUUCCCACCUAUGAAACUCCCGAACCUUUCCGGUUAUGCAAUCAGGUAUUGGGGAUACAGGGGAAGCAUAAUAUCUCACCCAAAUCUAGCAAUUCCUACAUCCAGCUGUAUCCAUCCUUCAACACAUAACCGAGAAAAACUUCAGAAACCAUCUACCUCAACCUUCGAAAAGCAUCCGUUAUACAAGUUAUGGCGAUACUCCCGAACUCCCGCCCCAGUACUGGGUGGCGUCGAGGUUAUCUCACCAACGAACUGCAUAAAAGAGAUUUUCAAUGUCGGUGUACUAAACUCAGGUAUUCCAGAACUGCAACGAUAAAAUUAUGAUGACAACACCUCAGAGCUCAACUCCCCAGGACACUUCCACAAGACCCCUGACAGGAGGCACCAAGACAAUGUUCUCAUCAUAAAACCAUCGGAACGAUUCCAAGAUACCCGCGUGAUCCUAAAAAAAAUUAGUGAAAUUUGAGAAGAGAAGAGUCAAAACGCUACGUCAGGAUGCCUUACCAGAGCGAUGAGGAGACUGGGAAGUAAAAAGAAUUCCUAAACUCUCCGAUAUAUAAUUCCUAAAUGACUCAAAACAUUUUUUCUAGACACAACUCGGCCGCUAAAAACGAUCAAGCAAUGGGGCUCCUAAGGUCGGGGAAGGCUCUGAUUACCAACUUGUAACACCCUCGAUGCGACUAUAUCUCCCACGUGUCGAGGCACGACUUAGAGGCAUAAUCGCAUUGAAGGCAUAUGUCGCAAGUUAAGUAAUCUUCACAACAUCCCAUGUAAUAUAGAUAAUAAAAGGGGAGAUAACAUAGUUGGCUUACACUCGCCACAUCAAUCAAGUACAUAAAUAACAUUACAUCAUCCAAACACUCAUGGCCCGACUACGGCGCCAAAAUAAAAGAUAACCCAACAUGCGACACGGUCCCGAUCACCCCCAACUGGGCACCACUACUGAUCAUCAGGAAAGGAGACAUAGUAACGUUGAGAGUCCUCGUCGAACUCCCACUUGAGAUCAAGCGCGUCUCCUGGAGCGGAAUCAUCGGGCCCUGCAUCUGGUGUAAUAGUAAUCUGUGAGCCACAGGGACUCAGCAAUCUCGCACCCUCGCGAUCAAGACUAUUUAAGCUUAUAGGUAAGGCAAGGUAAAUAUGUCGAGCUGCAACAAGCGACUAGCAAAAUAUGGUGGCUAACUUAUUCGCAAAAGAGAGCGAGAAGAGGAGGCAAAGCGCGAGCGAGAAACUAGAGAGCAACCUGCGUAAAACAUUACUCCAACACCGUGUCCACCUCCCGGACUCGGCCGAAAAGAGGCCAUCACAGUAACACACUCAGUUGAUUCAUUUUAGUUAAGUUAAGGUUCAAGUUAUCUACAACCGGACAUUAGCAAAUUCCCAUCUGCCCAUAACCGCGGGCACGUCUUUUGAAAGUUCAAAUCCCUGCAGGGGAGUCCCAACUUAGCCCAUGACAAGCUCUCAUGGUCAACGAAGGAAUAGACCUCCUCCCAAGAUGUUUCGAUCAGACUCGGUAUCUCAGUUCUUCAAGACACUUCGACGGGUUAAAACAAGACCAGCAACCACCCGAAUGUGCCGAAAAAUCCCGAUAGGUGCUGCACAUAUCUCUUUCUCAGGGCACAAUUGGAUAAGCAAUCCGUACAACUAAAACCAGCCCUCAAGUUUCCCCGAGGUGGCGCUGCAAGGGGCUCUAGGUUGGACCAACACUCAGAGGAGCACUGGCCCGGGGGGGUUUAAAAUAAGAUGACCCUCGGGCUCCGGAAACCCAAGGGAAAAAGAGGCUAGGUGGAAAAUGGUAAAACCAAGGUUGGGCAUUGCUGGAAAAGCUUUAAUCAAGGCGAACUAUCAAGGGGUUCCCAUUAUAACCCAACCGCGUAAGGAACGCAAAAUCCGGGAACAUAACACCGAUAUGACAGAAACUAGGGCGGCAAGAGUGGAACAAAACACCAGGCGAGAGGCCGAGCCUUCCACCCUUAACCAAGUAUAUAGAUGCAUUAAGAUAACAUGCCAAUAUAAUGAUAUCCCAAUAAGUAAAUAUAUGUUCCAACAAGGAACGGCCUCCAAGCUUCACCUGCAACUAGCAACGCUAUAAGAGGGGCUGAGCAAAGCGGUAACAUGGUGGGUUAGAGGUUUGACAUGGCAAUUUGGGAGGCUUGAAAGCAAGUGGUAGGCAUCGUAGCAUUGGCAUAGCAAAAGAGCGAGCAAAACUAGCAUAGCAAAGAUAGUAGUGAUUUCGAGGGUAUGAUCAUCUUGCCUGCACAGUUGUCAGAGUUGGUUGGAUCCUCGAACGCAAACUCAACGGGCUCCUCGUUAGCGAACUCGUCUCCCGGCUCUACCCAAACAAGACAACAAGAAAUAAGGACACAAAUAAACCACGUGCAAGGAUCAAACAAUAUGAUGCAAAGAUGGUAUGCUAUGCGGGAUGCGAUGCGGGAUGCAUAUGCAAGAUUUGACAAGGAAAGCAUGAACCUGGCCUCAACUUGGAAAUCCAAGUGUGCCACUGGAAAGAUGAGAUGAAAUCGCUUGAAAACGAUAUAAAGAACGCCGGAAUCGGAGUUACGGUUUGGAAAUGGCAAGCGAUUCAAAUAUGGCCACGUUUUGCGAUUUACAGCAAGUAGCCAUCUAAAUGCAACGAAAUGAACAUGCUACAGCACCCAAACAUGACAACAAGAUACCUGCCACAGAUGCAUUCAAGAUGCUUAACAAAAGUCUAGCACUGAGCUAUGGCCAAAUCAUCCAUUAACAGGUUCAAACAAGCAUGGCAAAAAUGCAUAUGGCAAACAUAUCUCAGACUUAGUGAAAUUACACUUGUCUGGAAUUUCAGAUUAGGUAGCACACUUCGGAGCAACAAAACUAUAUGCUACACAACCUGAACAUGGCAAAGUAAAGAAUGGCAUGGAGCUACUCAAAGAGCUUAACAAAAGUCCCUUAGUGACCUUGAGCCAAAAGGGAUCAGAAAAUACAAUUGCAAGCAUGUGAACAUGGCAAAAACAUAAUCUGUUCUCAGACUUUGUGAAAACUGGAGCAUGCUGAAACAUAACUCAAGUAGGCAUGUUUACGAGCUCGAUGCACUCAAUACGGAGCAAGUCAUGAUAAUCUAUGCUUACACCCAUCAAGAAUACAUAAAAUUAAAGCUAUACAUGGCAAGAACAAUAGCAUAGCAUGCACGGAUCAACUACAACAUCAUCGGCAAAAUUGCAAACAAGUUGACAAUCUGCCCAGAUUCAUAAAGUAGCAAAAGUAGAGCUCGAUUGACUCAAGCUAGGAUGCUCCAUAAUUUCAAACAAAUACAUGGAUGGAUAGACCACUACAAGAUUAAUAAAACAUCCUUACUUAUCAUCCUCAAAAGAGGCACGGAUCACUAGGAAACAACAUGAACAUAUGGCAUCAUGAGAUAAACAGCUCAAGGACUUAGUGGAAAUACUAAGUCCCUGAAAUCAGCACUAACAAGUGCACCACUUUGCAAGCUCGUGCUAGUCACCACACACAUCUCAAAAAUACAUGGGUUGCACCUCUGGAAAGAUGGCAAAACCCUUAACAAAACAUAUGUAGAGCAUCAGGGCAUAUCAUGCACACAAUAAUCAUGGCAAAAAUGACAAAUGUCUAAAUGGAGUAGCAGAUCUGACAAUUAUCUCAAGUAGCCCUCUUCUAAGAGCAUUUCGGGCAUCAAGAUGAACUCAAAUGAAAAUGAUGCAAUGGAAUGAAAUGAUGUACUCUCUGAGAUGAACAUUUUGAUAUGCUAUAUGCCAAAAACGGAGUUAGGGAUUCGGAGAUACGACACGAUGAACAGGAGCACUUGAAACUGAAAAACAUGGGGACUUAGUAGAAUUUCGUCCUCCGGAUCGGUUUGACCCGGCACGCAAAACGAGGCGGUGGCCGGCGAGGUCGAGGUCGCCGGAUCAGGUCGCUCCUCGACCGGAUCUGGCCGGAGGAGGGAGGCGCCAGCGGGGGCGGCGCGCUGAGGCGGCUUGUGCGGCGNNNNNNNNNNNNNNNNNNNNNNNNNNNNNNNNNNNNNNNNNNNNNNNNNNNNNNNNNNNNNNNNNNNNNNNNNNNNNNNNNNNNNNNNNNNNNNNNNNNNNNNNNNNNNNNNNNNNNNNNNNNNNNNNNNNNNNNNNNNNNNNNNNNNNNNNNNNNNNNNNNNNNNNNNNNNNNNNNNNNNNNNNNNNNNNNNNNNNNNNNNNNNNNNNNNNNNNNNNNNNNNNNNNNNNNNNNNNNNNNNNNNNNNNNNNNNNNNNNNNNNNNNNNNNNNNNNNNNNNNNNNNNGGCGUUGGGCCGCUCGGGCCUCAGCGGCGGCGGGUGGCGGCGCGCCACGUGGCAGGCGGCGGUUGGCGGUGGCGGAUCCGGCGGCGGAGAUCCGAAAUUUUAGGGUUAGGACGGGGGAGGAUCCGGAUUUUUGGGGAGAGGCCUUUAUAUAGGCAUAGAGGGAGCUAGGAGAGUCCAAAUGAGGUGCGAUUUUCGGCCACACGAUCGUGAUCGAACGCUCUAGAUGAUGGAGCAGGUUUAGGUGGGUUUUGGGACAAAUAGAAAGGGUUUUGGGCUGCAACACACACGAGGCCUUUUCGGUCCCUCGGUUAACCAUUGGAGUAUCAAACGAAGUCCAAAUGAUACGAAACUUGACAGGCGGUCUACCGGUAGUAAACCAAGGCCGCUUGGCAAGUCUUGGUCCAAUCCGGAAAUGUUUAAUCCCCACACACAAAAGAAAGGUAAAAAUGACCACCGGAGGGGAAUGAAGCGCCGGAAUGCAAAACGGACAACGGGGAAAAUGCUCGAAUGCAUGAGAUGAACACAUAUGCAAAUGCAAUGCACAUGAUGACAUGAUAUGAGAUGCAAGACAACGAUAACAACACACGGAGACAAAGGCCUAAACCCGAGAAAAUAAAAGAAAAUAACUUAACGCCAGAAACUACAAGAGUUGGAGUACAAAUUGGGAAAGUUACAUCCGGGGUGUUACAGUUCUGUUGCUUGGAGUAUUAUUUUAGGAAAUGAUGUUUACAUGUGGAUCUUAGCCAAAUAGCUUUAUUCCUGUUAUUGGAGUAGUAGGAUUUUGAUUUUCGGAUUCAUCAUGACAGUAGUGUAGUGUUACCCUUGGAGUAUUUUGAGAUGAUGUUAUUAUGCUUGGAUUAUUUGUUGGAUAUUGCUAUGACUUGGAUUAUAGUUGAUAGUUCAUACUGGAGUAUCAGUUAUCAUAGUUGUAUUUUUGGGGAUAAAUUCCGUCAUUUAGGUGGUCAGGUUCCACCGAACCGGGCUUUUCCAGCGCAACCACAUUUGCGUUAUGGAAGGCCCUAAUCGGUCUAUUGUCAUGUCUCUCGCCGGUGCCUCCAACGAGGGAAGGUUAUGGGCAUAGUUGUUAGGCGCCUUUUUGUCCCGUUGGGACGCUUAUGUUUUGGCCACAACGAUGGUCAUUAUGUCUUUGGUAGACACAGGGCCACCUAGGACUAAACCCAGAAGGGGUGUUGGUCGGAGUGGCCGGGAGAGUGUCAUGGCAGUAGAUCGGUUUUGCCGGAACGCCGUUGGUCCACCCGAAUGGGAGUACGAGGCCAUGGGUUCUGUGGUGUGGGUAUAGUGUGCUACCUCUGCAGAGUGUAUUUAAUCUAUCGAUAGCAUGGGUUCUUACUAGGUCCCACCAUUCGAUCAACACUCACAUGACGGAAUGACUUAUAGGUGAUAUAUAUAAAUGUUGAUAUUUUGAGCAGUACAGGUUGGCAGGAUGAUGAUGAUGAGGAUGACGAAGUGUUGGUCAUGGUAGUGAUCGCCGGAAGGAUCACGUUUUAGACCUAGUGUUGGUCAUGGUUGUGAUCUCCGAAAUGAUCACCGUUUGGUUUUGAUCACGAGGUGAUCGAGAUGAUAUAUUGCUUGGCCGGUUAGCCAAGAGAGAUAUGGUUAUGGGGAUCUGAGAUGGUGAUUUAUUAGUAUUGUAUCAGUUUCAUACCAUGCUUAGUAGUUGUUCCAUCAUAACAAUUGUUAAUCUAAUUAACCUGUUAAUGCUAUGUUAUUGUUUUGCCAUGAUGUUUAUGGUUGUUGUGAGCUUGCAAGUACAUUCAAUAUACUGACCUGGCGUGUCAUGCCAGAUUGCAGGUGAUGCCAUGAUUGCUCGAUUGCUUGUCAAUGGUUCCUGUGCAUGCAAGCUAGAUCGUGUCCCAGCCAGAGUCCCUGCAAAGUGGAGUUCACCACCUUCGUCGAUGUUCCGCUGCUACGAGUUGUUCUGCUGCAAGCAUAGAGCAAGUGUAGUAUCGUAGGCGUAGUGUCGCCGUGCUGAUGUGCUUCGUUGUCACAUCAGACCCUUGUAUUAUUAUUCUUGUAAUAAGAGCUAAUUUGUUAUAU